rnacentral:rRNA from 1 species
ACACUCCUACGGGAGGCCGCAGUCUUUCAUUUUCCGCCAUGGCCGAAAGCCUGACGGAGCAAUACCGCGUGAGGGAAGAAGGCUCUAGGGUUGUAAACCUCUUUUCUUGGGGAAGAAAAAAAUGACGGUACCUGAGGAAUAAGCAUCGGCUAACUCCGUGCCAGCAGCCGCGGUAAUACGGAGGAUGCAAGCGUUAUCCGGAAUGAUUGGGCGUAAAGCGUCCGCAGGUGGCAAUUCAAGUCUGCUGUCAAAGCUCAGGGCUCAACCCUGAAAAGGCAGUGGAAACUGAACAGCUAGAGUGCGGUAGGGGCAGAGGGAAUUCCCAGUGGAGCGGUGAAAUGCGUAGAGAUUGGGAAGAACACCAGUGGCGAAAGCGCUCUGCUAGACCGCAACUGACACUAAUGGACGAAAGCUAGGGGAGCGAAUGGGAUUAGAAACCCGGGUAGUCCCA